GCAGGCUCCAGGCUCUGAGCUGUUGGCACAGAGCCCGACACGGGGCUUGAACUCACGGAGUAUGAGAUCAUGACCUGAGCUGAAGUCAGAUGCUCAACCGACUGAGCCCCCCAAGUGCCCCAAGAUUGGAGACUUUUUGACCAAGGGAAGUAGAGACUCCGUCAGAGGUGGGUGUUGCAGGUAGACAGCCUUCUGGUUGCCGUGGGGCAUGUCACCUGGCCGCUCCGUGGAAGGAGAUGUGGCCGCGGUCUGUAAGGGAUGGAGAGCUGUGUGAGCGGUCUUGCCUGGCGUACGAGAGAAGAUGGUUGGCGUUUACUGAGUGUUUCGUGUGCACCUGGUGCUUUGCUAAAUACUGUUUCCUUCAAUCUGUACAAGUGACCGGGGAAGAAGGUGCUAUGGUCCUUGUUUCGUGGGUGAGGAGAUGGUGGCCAAGGGAGACCCCAAAGUUGGCUGUGGUUCCACCAUCAGGUGUGACACCGGGUCCCAUGGGGUCUUCCGAUUAAAGUGAGUGUGAUGUGCUCUAGCCAGUGGCUCCCCUUCGGGCUCCAAAAUCAUACUUUCUUAAAGCUUGUAUUCCCCCCACCGUCGUAGGAAGGAGACAUUUUGGAAAAAAAGUUUUCUCAACUCCAGACUUUCUCUUCCGUCGUCAAUCUAACAAGCUGUGGAAAAGUGUCCACGAGAAGACCCUGUGACACGUAACCUGUGGGUGCUGGAGGUGGGGCUCAGAGAACCCGACCAAGGACGGCUGCAUUGUUGGAGGGUGACCCUGCUCAAGAUGGAGAAGGCCUUAGAACAUCCCUCAGGUUUUCUAAGGAUGGCAAUGCCUGGAAGCUUCCAGCCCGGACCCUGCAGCCCUUGGCUGCCGCUCACCCCCAGCUUUCAUUCCACCUGGUGUUCGUACAGAGUUCGCCAUGCCGCCGUUCCUGCCAUAAAUCUCCCCUUGGUGAAUUAAAGGUCUGUCUCAGCCUGCUCCGGGCCUCUGUGAUAUUCGUAGCAGAAAGUGGCAGAAUUUACUGCCCUGCGGGGAAUGGGGACCGGGCAGUGUGUUCACAGGACAGUAGCAAGAUUUCUCCUCAUGUGUUGCCUGCAGAAUAAGGGGGCAGGUAAUUAAUGGUGUCACGUGAUUACAGGGAGUUAAUGUGGAAAUCGAUGCCAGACUGAGAACUACCCCCCGCUCCCCAAGGGUCCACUCCACCUGCUUUCAAGCCACCAGGCACUCCCGGCUGACCAUGGCCUCACUGUGGAAAUGGGACUGCUCCACGCCUCCUUGUGUUACCUGUGCCUGCAGGUGCCCAGUCAGGAAGGCAGUCGCUGUGAUGUGCAGUUCUUUACACAGAAGGGCUUUGUGUUUUGUGAGCGCCUUUAUAACAUGCUGCGCUGGGGGUUGAGGGAGGUGUUGGAGAACGGAGUCUUUUGGGCAGGUCUCAGCGAUUACAGGAUGGUCUGCUCUACGCAUCUGCCUGAGGACAUGUGAACACAGAGGCACUAGUGACAGGCUUGUCCUUUCCUGUCCAAGCUAUGGCCAAGAUAACCUCAGAGAGAGGACUUUGAAAACCAUCCUUGUGUUCAGACUCUGCAGCCACCGAAGUCCACUGGGUCAGCAGAGUCCCGCUUUGUGUCUGUGCACUUGUAAUGAACCAACCUUUGCUGAGUUACUUAGACUUUCUUGUACAGAGAGGAAGUCCUUUGCUCUUUUCCUCGGGCAUACGGUUACACGUUAUAUGACGGGUUGUUAGUCUAAAUUUUUCACAACCAGUAGGGCCUGGGAACCCACUGGCCAGGAAGGAUGGCCACGGUGAGCAUCUGUACAGCGGUUUCCUGGGUCAUUGUCAGCUUUGCAGCCAGGGUUCGCUGAAUCGAGUUGAGAGUGCAAGAGGGGCUUUCUUUUUGCUUUGAGUCCCCGGUAUCUUAUGUUCUGCAUUAAACCAUUUUUUUUGGUAUAUACUAUAGUUCAGUAUUCUUCAUUGAAAACUAACGAUCCUCUCUCCAGAAAAAGGUACGCACACAUCCCAGAGCUUACAAAUUGAGGUGUUCUUAGACUCACUGGGGUUCUUCUGUACCAUGGAACUCUUGAGCUGCGGUGCUGAGAAACACAAGAGCACAUUCUGUUCCCUCCCUUGCAGGCAUUGGAAUUCCUGUUAGUGGAAUCAGAGAGAGCAUUCAGCUGUCAUGAUUGGGAAGAACUGUAGAAGGGGUGAAUUUUACUUUUAAAUAAUUUUGGCCAAUGCGGAUGUAGUUGCAGACUUAAAACCUGCACCAGUCCAGUAGCCUUGCAUAUGCUCUUUAGUUAGGUUCAUCAUUUACGUUUUGUACCACUCAUCAUUUUCUCUCCACACACACACGCGCAGUUGGAACCAUUUGAGAUUAAGUCAAGCCGCUACCCCAGUGUGCACUUACUAUGAACAAGACAUUCCUCCACACACACAGACUGUACUUAGCAACACUGGGAAACUUAACGUUUACCCGGUCGUACUAUUAAAUCAGUGGUUUGCCAGGUGAGGUCCCUGGAUCAGCAGUGUCACCAUCUCCUAGAAACAUGUUGGAAAUGCGUAUUUGCACCCCCCCCCCCAGACCUGCUGAAUCAGAAACUCUGGGGGGAGGGAGCUGGUCAGCAAGCUUUGCCAGGCUUUCCUGGGAUUCAGACAUGGUGAGGGAUUUAGUACCAUAAGUCUAACGCACAGGCAACGUUCAGAUGCCACCACUUGGCCCAGGGACAUCGAAUACAGCUAUUUCUCCUAUCCAGCUCUGACCCACGGUCAGUAAGUGCAUAUAGGUGGCUUGUUUCUUUCGUGUUCUUCAAUCCAGAACAGUUCCGUAGCUUUUCCUGGGCUUUCUUGACCUUGAUGUUUUCGAAGAUAGGCCAUGUUUUGGAUUUGUCAGGUGCUUCUGCCAUGGGGCAUGGCUGUUGUUCCAGCACCUUGUCUCCCUCCGGGAGGCCUGAGGUUGGUUGCUCUAACCCUGGGCAUGUUGGCUCUGAGCAUUUGGUUAAGGUGGUGCCUCUCAGGAUUCUUUACUGUGCAGUUACAUUUUACUGUAUUAGUAAUUUGUUGACACAUACAUUUGGACAUACUCUGUACCUCAUUCAACUUUUAUCCACAAUUUUAGCACCUUUUGGUGAUUUUCUAACCCCUCAUUUCUUCUAGGUCUAUUACUUAGGUAUUUUUUAUUGACGUAAUGUGAUAUAACACAACAUGACAAAACGUAUGUCUUGCAGAGACAAACAUGGGCAUUCCACUGUAAGGAAGAGCUUUCUCUCCCCCUACCCCAUUUAUUAUUUAUUUACAUCUGUACAGAUUCUUUAAUUCUUGUUUACUCAGUGGGUUAUAACCCAUCACCAUCAUUUUUUAUCUUGUUCAAAAUGACGUUCCAGAGUUGGCCAGUCACUGGGGUGGGGGGGGGGGAGCAUGAAACUUACAUUAUUGUUGUAUGACCUCGUGGUCAUGAGAGGCUGAGGUUCUGAAAGUUCUGAUCACCUCCCCACAAUCCUGGAACUUGACAUCAGGAAAGGAUAUUUUGGUGACUAGAACUAUAAGUGUGUUGCUGUGGUCACAAACGUCCCCCUAACCGCUAUAUCCGAUGGAGACUUUCUAUUUCCCUUGCUUGUGCCCCUCUAGAGCAUUCAACCCCGUUGACAACACCCUCCUUGAAACUCCCCCUACCCCCUUGGCCUCCGUGGUACCACUUCCUCUGGUUCUACUUCUCACUGCUGCUUUCUCGCUCUCUUUAGGGACGUCCCUUGAACAGCUGGCCCCUGUUUAAAGUCCUGGAUAAGUGAGCCCUCUCUGUUCCCAUAGUGCCUACACCCCGGCUCCCUCGCUAACUUCCAUGACUUUGGUUGCUGCUGCGAGGUUCAUAUCUUCCAAAGAAUUACAAGCACGAUUUCCCAAACUCCAGGCUGGAUGUCAGAGCGGCUUACCUACCUCCACUGCAGUGUCCAUGAGCACCUAACCUGAUUGUUCUCUGCCCAACUUAAUGUUCCUCUUUGACCUGCUCUCACAGAUAAUGCUGCUGCCAUUUGCCUGUUACCCAAGCCAGAGUCACCCCAGGUGCUUUUCUUUCCUUCAACUGUUGUCUAAUAUUGUAGGCAUAGAAUUAUAGUCUAGUAACCAAAAGUCCCAGAAUCUUUAAUGCAGUGCCGAAUAGAAGUUAUAAUUCUAAAUUGAAGUUUGAGACAACAGAAAACCAUUGCUCUGAGAGAACAAAUCUUGGGAUAGCCAUUGUGUCUUGUUAGGGAGAUAAAGAAUAAGCCAGUGAAUAUUUACAUGACCGUUACUUUAAAAAUCCAAGUUAAAACUGUAUGCGUUGUGUAUCUUUUAUCAUGAAGCUGAGUUUAUCACUGUGUUUAGGAAGAACAGAAAGUAUUUUCCCACAGUUGUUGAAAGUCCUGUUUUACUAGUUAUAAAAUGCUGAGGUGUAACCUGGAGAAAAAUGUUCCGUUUAGAAGUCUAUUUUUCUUAAAAUCUUUGUUGUAGAAAUAGAGUUAUUUUAAUUAAAGAUUACCUUUGUCAGAGCUAGAUUUUACUGAUCUACAUUGGGAUAAUUAACGCAAUAGUUUUGGUUCCCCCAAGCCUCUCUGUGUUUCUCUUUUGUGUAUCAUGAUCUUGUUGCCCCUUAUCCUUAAGCACCUCUUUGCAACAAGCCUUGUGGCUUUUGCAGACUAGUUCUGUUAAAAACCAAAGUCAAGGUUAGCUGCACCCCAUCGAUUCCCUGUGUUGUCACUGUGUUUCACAGCUGUCCCCAUCCUGUGGGAAGAGCUGCCCUCUAGCUGGGGCGGUUCCACUGGUCUCCUGGGUUGUGUCGCUGAGCCUGGCAUGCAGCCCUCACCGACCCCAGUGUGACUGCAGCCAACGUAAACCUGCCUACUCUGUGCCUCUCUUGGGAACUGUUUAGUGUCUUUCCACCUGGUGCGUGCUGGCUUGUUUGGGUUGACAUCCAUGACUCCCCACUGGUCCUGGCAGCCCCAUUGCUUUUGCUCUUGCAAAUGCCCCCAUGAUCUGUCACCUUCCAGUACUUACCGUCCCCCAUGUAGCAUACCCUGCCUGCUUACUGCUUCUUCCUUUUGGGCUGCCGUCCAGGGCUCCCCCCCCCACUUCUGCCUGGCAUUCCCAUUGCCCAACAGCCACCUCUAGGCCAAGCUUUUCCUUUCUGUGAACAAGCCACUGCUCUCUGCCCUUUCUGCCCUCUCCCCAAACCUUUGAUUACACUUUGAUUCUGACCUCUGUUAGGUCUCGCAUCUCUCCAGACAGAGCACAUUCGUCAUCACUCUCUGCCAGUGGCAAUACCACACAUUUUGACGUCACACUACAGUCAGGAUGUGCAGAUGCCGCAUCAGCCCUGCGCUAGCUCCUCAUCACAGUCAACCCUGUCAGCCACUGGUCUCCCCGCAAGACCCUCCUCUUUCCAGUUUCUUCUUCGUGGCUCUGUUGGCCCCCAGUUGUGUGCAGGAAGAAGCCAGUGGAUGAAGACCCUUCACUCAGACGCCAUGCCACUCCUGGGCUUGCCUCCCUCGCCUCACCCAGGUGCUCUCUUCACUCCAGCUGUGCACUUUGACCCUGUGUCCCCCCCGACCCUGCCCUUUCAAGGCUCUGCACUUUUCAUGUGCCUUUUUGGGGGGCUGGAAUACCCCUUUAUUCUUUCUAUUUUAGCAAACUCUUACUCGUGGGAAGUGCAUUGUGCACUGCAGUUUGUCAGAGGGUGAAUUUUAUUUAAUUACAAGGUGAGUUUGGGUUAGUUUCGUAACUUUUCCAAGCCCAUUGCCGCCUCUGGAAGGAGACGGUGGUAACAGUACGCAGAUGGGUUCUCAUCAUGUGCAUUGACGCCUACGUUCCAGGCAGGAGUUGUGCCAGCCCUUGUUCUUGAGGGACUCAAGUUAGUGGGAGGGAGAUGCAGAUUAAAAAGAGAUAAAACAUCUGUAGUGUGAGAGGACCUGUGGCAGAGGUGUGAAUAGAUUCUAAGGAAGCCCAUCUUGUGGGGUUGGGAUAGGUUGCAUCGGUGGGAUAUUUGGUUUCAUGGAGGAACUCAAAGCGCAGUUACAGUAGCUGGCAGGUUUUGAACAUUCCCAGGUUUUGACCUGUGCUGAGUGUUUGACAGGCAUAAUCUCAUUGAUGCCCACAAAAAUGCUCUGAGGUUGACACCGUUAUUGCUCUAGACUUGGAGUAGGGUUGGGAGGGGUGGGUGUU